UACGAGGGGGGCAAGUGUUGUUCGGACUCACUGGGCGUAAAGGGAGCGUAGGCGGAUGUUUCAGUUGGAUGUUUAAAACCGGGGCCUAACCUCGGAGCGGCAUCCAAAACUGGGCAUCUUGAAUAGGUCAGAGGCUGGUGGAAUUGGAGGUGUAGCGGUGGAAUGCGUAGAGAUCUCCAAGAACACCUAGUGCGAAGGCAGCCAGCUGGGACCAUAUUGACGCUGAGGCUAGAAAGCAUGGGGAGCAAACAGG
rnacentral:rRNA from 1 species